rnacentral:rRNA from 1 species
UACAGAGGUCUCAAGCGUUGUUCGGAUUCAUUGGGCGUAAAGGGUGCGUAGGUGGCGCUGUAAGUCGGGUGUGAAAUUUCGGAGCUUAACUCCGAAACUGCAUUCGAUACUGCGGUGCUUGAGGACUGGAGAGGAGACUGGAAUUCAUGGUGUAGCAGUGAAAUGCGUAGAGAUGUGGAGGAAUACCGAUGGCGAAGGCAGCCCCCCUGGGAUAACACUGACGCUCAUGCACGAAAGCGUGGGGAGCAAACAGG